rnacentral:misc_RNA from 1 species
GUGUCCCUUUCGUUUACCACCCUUAUCGGGUGCGAUGCGGACCCCAAAGUAGUUCCCGUGUUCCAUGCUCGUCUCGCGUAUUGUUGCGAGCAAGGCCCACGGGUUUCUGCUCGUGCUCUCGGAUGCGGAAGCUUGUGCGGGCAUGGGGCGUUAAACCCCUAUUUUGCCCAAACUAAGCGUUCGUCGCUCGACACGUACGACAGCCGCGCUCGUCUUGACCCUCCAAUUUACUUUGUUGGGCUCAUGCGGUGCCGGCGUCGCACAGGAAUGCUACCUGGUUGAUCCUGCCAGUAGUCAUAUGC